GCAGGGGAUAUUGCGCAAUGGGCGAAAGCCUGACGCAGCAACGCCGCGUGGAGGAAGAAGGCCUUCGGGUUGUAAACUCCUUUUCUCGGGGAAGAAGCAAGCGACGGUACCCGAGGAAUAAGUCUCGGCCAACUACGUGCCAGCAGCCGCGGUAAUACGUAGGAGGCAAGCGUUAUCCGGAAUUAUUGGGCGUAAAGGGCGUGUAGGCGGCUCCCAAAGUCUAUAGUGAAAUCUCCCGGCUUAACUGGGAGGGGGCUAUGGAUACUUGGGGGCUUGAGGGCAGCAGAGGGAGAUGGAAUUCCCGGUGUAGUGGUGAAAUGCGUAGAUAUCGGGAGGAACACCAGUGGCGAAAGCGGUCUCCUGGGCUGUACCUGACGCUGAGGCGCGAAAGCGUGGGGAGCAAACAGGAUUAGAAACCCCAGUAGUCC
rnacentral:rRNA from 1 species